rnacentral:rRNA from 1 species
UGGGACAAGCCCUGGAAACGGGGUCUAAUACCGGAUACGACUACCGACCGCAUGGUUGGUGGUGGAAAGCUCCGGCGGUGCAGGAUGAGCCCGCGGCCUAUCAGCUUGUUGGUGGGGUGAUGGCCUACCAAGGCGACGACGGGUAGCCGGCCUGAGAGGGCGACCGGCCACACUGGGACUGAGACACGGCCCAGACUCCUACGGGAGGCAGCAGUGGGGAAUAUUGCACAAUGGGCGAAAGCCUGAUGCAGCGACGCCGCGUGAGGGAUGACGGCCUUCGGGUUGUAAACCUCUUUCAGCAGGGAAGAAGCGAAAGUGACGGUACCUGCAGAAGAAGCGCCGGCUAACUACGUGCCAGCAGCCGCGGUAAUACGUAGGGCGCAAGCGUUGUCCGGAAUUAUUGGGCGUAAAGAGCUCGUAGGCGGCUUGUCACGUCGGAUGUGAAAGCCCGGGGCUUAACCCCGGGUCUGCAUUCGAUACGGGCAGGCUAGAGUUCGGUAGGGGAGAUCGGAAUUCCUGGUGUAGCGGUGAAAUGCGCAGAUAUCAGGAGGAACACCGGUGGCGAAGGCGGAUCUCUGGGCCGAUACUGACGCUGAGGAGCGAAAGCGUGGGGAGCGAACAGGAUUAGAUACCCUGGUAGUCCACGCCGUAAACGUUGGGAACUAGGUGUGGGCGACAUUCCACGUCGUCCGUGCCGCAGCUAACGCAUUAAGUUCCCCGCC